GACCUCAAGUGAUCUGCCCGCCUCGGCCUCCCAAAGUGUUGGGAUUAUAGGCAUGAGCUACCACACCUGGCUGCCCAUUUUCACAUAGAUGGAAGCAGAGCUCCCUCCCCGUGCUAAGCUGCAGCAUGCGCUCAAUGCCACUGCCACUCCCAGUCACGGGACACCAAGGAAUGUCCUUCUGGGCUCAGGGGGCCAACUGCUGAAGGGAGAAAGCACGAGGGGCAAAGUUCCCUGGCAGCGGGAGGGCUGUCCCCCACUCAGGGCACCAUGGCCCCAGCCCUGCUGGGGCAACCCAGAGAACCCUGAGGCAGGAGACAGGGAGAGUGGUGAGGCCUUCCCCUGCACAAGCAUCCAGAACUCCUGAGAGCUCUUCAGAGUAGGAAGGGAGGUGCCAGGUGACCUCGCCUGACCACAAAUGUGAGGAACCCGAGGCCUACAGAGGAAGAGUCCAGCCAGUCCACAAACACCCACUGGGCACCAGCCAGGUGCUGGGGACACUGGGAUGAAUGUGACCAGCUCUGAAGAGGCUCCUCAUCAGGUAAGCACCCACUUGGCUGGAGCUCAGACCCUCAAAAUCUGCCCCAGAAACUUCUCCAGCCCCGUCUGACCUCCUUUUCCUCCCUCUGCUCCCACAUCCACAGGCUCCUUACAGGGUCCUCAUGACACAGUGUCAUGUGCUGCCUCCUUUCACCUCUGCUCCAGCUGUUGGAAGAAUGCCCUUCCCAGCCACCUGGAGCCCAUCCACCCCCACUCCCCCAUCUCUUCUUCGCAGAGCCUCACUUAAGUGCCCCCCAACCCCAAGCUGAGACUGAUGGACCCCAGGAGGAAGCUCGCUCCCUUCUCCCCCUCCCCCCUCCUCCUCCUCCGGGCCUCCCCAUGCUCUUGACCUCCCUUGCAACAUCUGUGCACUCUGCCCAGGGUAAUGGGUCCUGGAAUUGCCUCACUCUCUGCCCCUCAGGACCUGGGACUAAGAAGGUACAGCUCCGCUGAAUUGAGUAAAUGUGUCACCCACCCAAAGCAACGACCCAGAGCAAUUAACAGAUCACUUCUUCCUUUUAAGGCAUGUAUUUAAGGCUUGUCUUUCUUUGAAAACCCUCGGAGGAAAGAGAUGCAGCACUGUGGGGGAAAAAUGAAAUGGAAGAGACUUAGAUUGUCUUGGCAUUUCCAAGUGCUGGCUCUGUUCCUGGCACACAGUAGAUGUCUGAGAUAUGUUCUUUUGGUGGAUGAAAGAAUAAAAAUAUCUCCACGGCCACUUGCCCCUGCUGCCUGAAGUUCCACCAUUAUCACUGAAUCUUUUCUGGGGCUAAAGAGUAUUCCCUGUGAUGCUCUCUCAAAAUGCAGUCCUGGGCCAGGAAACUAGCUCUGGCUGGGGGUUUCCUUGCACAAAACAGCAAGGUCAGGGUUUGCCCAUGAGAUCUUCUCACUGCAUUCUCAAGACGGUGUGUCCAGACCCUGCUCUUUGACCAAGGAGUUGCAUGUUCAAAUAAGCUUAGGAAAGGCUGGCUGCACACUCUGCCACCCAUUGGGGUCCCUAAUUCGUAUUAAUACAUUAAAGACCCUGAGAAGGCCUGUUUGGAUUUAUGUGACCUAGCGUUUCCCAAAUCUGUAUGCUCAUGCAUCCUUGAAUCCAUUCCCAUGCCACGGGACUAGGGCUCCUCAGGGGACAGUUUGGGGAGUGUGGACUAGAUAGUGCGCCUGGGUCCAGGCGGGACAAGGUCUGCAGGUUGAAGGGUGUCUGUGGCUGCCACCCAGCCAGGGCCAUGCUUCCCUGCACUGACCAUUUGACAGAGGCAAAAAGUCCAACCUCAGCCACCACCACCAAUAGCUCAUGACAGAGACAGAUAAUGAACAUGGCAUCAGACAGCCUCCAAACGUAGCGCAAAGGAGGGAGAAGGUAACAGAGUGGGCCAGAGACCUGAGUGAGUUCCAACUGUGACUUUGUGCUCACUGCUGGCCAUUGGGCGGGGGGACCCCAUCCUGCUAAGCUUUGUUUUCAUCAUCUGCAAAAUGGGGAUAAUGCUAUUCUCAGGGCUGUUGUGAAGAUUGAGGUAAUGCAAGCAGAGGCAGAUUACAAACUGUCAAGUCCUGUGCCAGCAUUUGCUGUGUGCAUCAUUAUUUUACUGCAUGCAUGGCCAGGAGGGUGUGGUAAUGUCUUGAUUGAUCACAAGCCACUGCAGAGGUCCUCAAUCAGGACAGAUGGAUGGAUGGAUACAUGGAUGCAUGGAAGAAUGCACAGACAGAAUCCCCAGUGUGACACAGGCUCACCAAUGGCUGACUGGUUGAAUAGGCUGUGGGACCUCAAGCCAGUCACCUCACCUGCCUGAGCCCGAGGUUUCUCACCUGCAAAAUGAGGGAUGAAAGCGGAUCUCAUGUGGGAAAGGAGCCACUCCAAGGAGAGACUCAAACAUGACUGCCCUUGAGCUGGGUGAGUUCAGCUGAGUGGGUAGGAAGGGGAGCACCAGGCUCUGUUUUGAGGAGGGAGGCAAAACCCUACCUACCAGGAAUCACCCAUCUAACCUUGAAUUCUCGGCCUGCCCUUGGCAGUCCUGGUCUGAGAGAUGGACUCAGCUGCUACCACUGCCAGCCACCAGCAGGACCCUAUCUGCUGUCUUCCCAGGUUGGCUAGGGUCCCAGAGGGGGAGAAGCAGGAGAAGGGUCUUCAGUCAGAACUACAUAUGUCUUCACUGGAGGGACCUGGGCCCUAGAGCACAGACAUCCUUGCAGGCCCACGGUGGCCCGAAAUGGUUGCUAACUGGCCUUGGGCCACACAGUGAGACGGAGGUGCCAGGACCCAGGCCUUUAGGCCCAGCCCAGGGCUCUCUGCACGGGCCCAAAGUCACCCCUUUUGGAGCAUGCAUUAAGCACAGAGAGGAAGAACAGUGUGAAGAGUUAGGAUGAUGCACCCCCUAUCCUGCCAUGGUCAAGAGGCUCUGGCCAUUGACAGUUGAACCCCCAAGCUCCAAGGUGAAAAUCAACACCUGGUCACCCAGUUCUCUGCUUCACUCACUGCAGGCACUGACAGGGCACAUCUGGACAGAGGAGGGGCUCAGUCUGCCUCUGCAGAGUCCCCAGCAAGAGGAAGAAGGCUCCAAUUGCAGCAGAGUGGACUUCAAUUAGUCUCAAGAAAGAACUUCCUGCAGAGGCAUUAAGCAUGAACAGCAUACAGAGAAGGGGGGCAUGAUGAGGGCAACUGUAGCAUCUCCUCUGAAAUACAGGAUGCUGUCUCAUUCAUUAUGUCAUUUUACUUUCAAACCAGCCUGGAAGGUAAUCCCAGGAAGUCCUUCCUACAAAUGCAUUUUAUAGGAGAAACAACUCGUGCUCAAAGAGAUAAAAUGAUUCUUCCAGGGUCAUCCUGCCAAUGAGGAAACUGAGGCUCCGAGAAGACACGCAGGGAGCAGCUGCAUGCUGGAACCCAGGUUAACUGGAUUACCAAGUCUUCCCACUCCCCUCAUCUCUCCAGGCAGGAAGGUCCUGGGGGGAGGAAGCAGCCUCGGAAGGAAUGAGCUCCUUGUCCUGGGGAUGUGCAAGUAUUGUCUUGGGACACUGUGGGAGGUAGGCUGCAGAGGGCAGCCAGGUGGCUCUCAAACUGAAAUCACCAGGGGAGCUUCAUCAACUACUGAUGCCUGGGUCAUGCCCCAGAGAUUGUGGGGCCUGCAGGACUUUUAAAAGUUUCCCAGAUGAUUCUAAUGUGAAACAAAGUUUGAAAGCCAUGGGCUUGGAUGCCCACUGCUGCCCUUCCCACCUCUGAAACUCUCCUGCCACACGCCUUUCUAAGGAAAGAAGGGAUUUAUUACCCUGACCCCAUUUUACAAAAUGGGCAGAAGCCAAGCAAAAUAUAAGGGUGUCCUCAAGGCCCCACAGCCAGCAACAAAUCGAGGCAGCAUGAGGGGUCCCCUGAUUUCAGACUGCCCCUGGGGUGAGCUUCUUUAAGACACUUGGGGGUUCCA
rnacentral:lncRNA from 1 species